UUCAGCAAGAACUGUUACGUUUUCCAAAACUUCAUGAGAAGAUUGUAGACGUAGUUACCCAUCUGUUACGUCGGCGCCUGCCACCAACUAACUCAAUGGUUGAAAACUUGGUUGCAGUGGAGUUGGCGUACAUCAAUACAAAACAUCCUGACUUCCAUGAUGCUGUUCUGGUUAAUACUCUCGUUAAAAAUGCAGAAGCCGAGAGCAAAAGGCCCAUGAAACGUGUUGAAAACAAUCCUAACCUUCCAAGUGCUCCUUCAAACCUGAAUAUACCUGAA